UCAAAAAAGAGAGAGAAAAACACGCAUCUCACUGACUCGCUCGCCGGUCGCCUCCUCUCCUCGCGGUCCAGCUCACCGCGGCUGUUCGUUUCCAACUCUCCAUUUCUCGAAACCAAAAAGUAAAAACCGCUCCCGACCACCUCGCCGGCGGCCGCAGGGGCGCCACGGUGUCCGGGUAGGGUUCCGGCGACACUUCCCCGAGAGAGAGAGAGAGAGAGAGAGAGAGAGAGAGAGAGAGAGAGCUGAUUCGCCGGCCGGAGGGCCAGGUUGUCGGGGGAGAGAUGGUGUUCGUGUGGCUCACCGCGUUCUUCCUCGUCGUCGCGCUCAUCGUGCUCGUCAUCUAUCAGUUGAUGUGCUUGGCAGAUCUGGAGUUUGACUAUAUCAACCCGUUUGAUUCAUCCUCUCGAAUAAAUAAAGUGGUUAUGCCAGAAUUUGUAUUACAAGCACUUUUGAGUGUGUUGUUCCUCUUAUCCGGGCACUGGGCAAUGUUCUUGCUUUCUGUCCCAAUGGUGUACUAUAAUUAUACACUGUACCAACGGCGACAACAUCUGGUAGAUGUGACAGAAAUAUUUAAUCAACUUGGUCGGGAAAAGAAGCGCCGUCUCUUUAAGAUAAUUAGUCUCAUUGUUCUCCUAUUCUUGUCCUUGUUCUGGAUGAUCUGGAGUGUAUUAUCGGAGGAGGACGAGUAGGCUGAUGAAAAACCCUGCCGUAGCUCAUUCUGGCCUUGCAAUCAUUAGUUAGGUCAUCUGGAUCAGUGAGGCAGAAGGAUAACAUAUGCCCCCAAAAGCAAGAUUGGCAUGUCGAGCUGUUUGUUGUUUCGAUUUAGUGAAGUUCAGAAGCUCCUAUGUUGUAGCGCGCACCAUGUAAAUCAUGAGCCACUCCCGCUAUUUGUUGAAUUGAAUUGUGCAUCAGUUCUCACGGGGCAAAAGAAAUGGUUCCACCGAAUUAUGCUGAGUUGUCUUGCACUGCGGGAAGCCUGCAAUUAUUUUUUGUUUUAACCCGAGUUGUUCGUUCAAAUCUUUUGUUUUAA